UGGUUACAAUAGCAGAGAGGAUACACCUGUUCCCAUUCCGAACACAGAAGUUAAGCAAGGUAAAUGGAAUAACUAAAGAUAGUGUUACUAAUAAUAGAGUA
rnacentral:rRNA from 1 species